AUGGAAGAAGCGGCGGAGGAGCAAGCGGCCGCGCCGGUCGCCGGCGACUUCGAGGAUGCGGCGGAGAACGGGACGGGGGAGGAGGAGGGAGGCUCUGCUGCCGCGGCAGAGGAGGACGCUGCGGCGGCGUACUCGUGGCCUGAGCUCCGCUUCGAUCUCCCGCCGCGCCGCCGGUACCACUUCGCCGACCAGUUCCGCUCCCCUUGCUCCUCCUCCGCCGGUAACUUCCUCAAGGGCGUCAAGUGGUCGCCCGACGGCUCCUCCUUCCUCACCAGCUCCGACGACAACUCCCUCCGCAUGUUCUACCUGUACGCGCGCGCGCCUCUCCUUCUUCCUUCCCGUACCUUCUUAUGCCCUCGACUAACGCUCCUUGUUCCUUUCUCGGCCAGGCCGGAGGACGCGUACGGUGCUGCGGCGGAGGACACUGCAGAGGCCGCCGUCGGAGGCCAAGACUCCUAUGGUGCAAGCCUCCAGGUGAACGAGGGCGAGCCCGUGUACGACUUCUGCUGGUACCCCUACAUGUCCGUGUCUGAUCCGGCCACCUGUGUAUUUGCUAGCACCAGUCGCGAUCAUCCGAUACACCUCUGGGACGCCACCACGGGAGAGCUUCGAUGCACUUACAGAGCAUACGACGCCAUGGACGAGAUAACGGCUGCACUUUCAAUAUCGUUUAAUUCUACAGGAUCCAAGCUUUUUGCUGGAUAUAACAAAGCAAUCAGAGUGUUUGAUGUUCAUCGGCCUGGUAGAGAUUUUGAGCAAUACUCUUUGCUUAAAGGGGGUGAAGGGCCAACUGGUAUAAUAUCUUCAAUCUCGUUCUCUCCUCAAAAUGGGAUGCUCGCAGUUGGCUCGUAUAGCCAGACAACAGCUGUUUAUGCGGAGGGCAACAUGGAGCCAUUAUAUGUUCUACAUGGCCAGCUUGGGGGUGUUACACAGGUGCUUUUUUCGAAAGAUGGAAAUUAUUUAUAUACUGGAGGGCGGAAGGAUCCAUACAUAUUAUGUUGGGAUAUUCGGAACACCGUGGACAUUGUUUACAAGUUGUACAGAUCGUGUGAUACUACUAAUCAAAGAGUACAAUUUGAUAUUGAGCCCUGUGGCAAGCAUCUUGCCACUGGUGGGCAGGACGGCAUGGUCCAUAUUUACGACCUUCAAGGUGGCCAAUGGGUGACAGGCUUCCAAGCAGCUGCUGAUACUGUCAACGGUUUCUCCUUCCAUCCAUACCUUCCUCUUGCUACAACAUCAUCUGGGCACAGAAGAUUUGGUAUGGAAGAUGAAUUUGAAGAGGAAUCGAGUUUGGCAGGCGAUGAGAACUGCUGCUCUGUCUGGAAGUUUUCUUGCUCACAAGAAUCUUGA
rnacentral:rRNA from 1 species